CAGUAGCCACGGUAAAACGGAGGAUCCAAGCGUUAUCCGGAAUCAUUGGGUUUAAAGGGUCCGUAGGCGGUCUUGUAAGUCAGUGGUGAAAGCCCAUCGCUCAACGGUGGAACGGCCAUUGAUACUGCAGGACUUGAAUUAUUGGGAAGUAACUAGAAUAUGUAGUGUAGCGGUGAAAUGCUUAGAGAUUACAUGGAAUACCAAUUGCGAAGGCAGGUUACUACCAAUUGAUUGACGCUGAUGGACGAAAGCGUGGGUAGCGAACAGGAUUAGAUACCCCCGUAGUCCCUGUCUCUUAUAC
rnacentral:rRNA from 1 species